UUUCUAACUCGCUCCGAUCGAUCGAUCAUCGCCUUUAAGAUUGUCGGUCUUCUCUUUUAGGCUAUAUGCUACAUCUUUGCUGUUAUGAAUACUUAAAAAGUUACACCAUCAGUUACAAGAUCCUUGCUCUCUCUCUCUCUGGCUCUGUCUUUGAGAUGUAGUCAGGGUGGUGGAUCAUCGAUUCUGGGAAGGUUUCUAUGCGGGGAGGGUUUAACAUUACAAUAGGAUUACUUUACGUGAUGAUCACUUCAGAUGUCGUGGAAUGUUUAAACUGAAGAUUGAUGGCACAAAUGAAAACGCGUUGAUUAAGACAACCGGUAGUAUUCAUUCUAUUUUUCUUCGUCUAACAUUUCUUUCUGGUGUCUCUAUGCAAAAUCAGUGGCGACGAUGAUCAAUCAAUUACUCACAUAGAAAGCCAGUUGCUCAGGCUCCAAGAGGCCUUAAAAUUAGCAGCACCUAUUGCACACCAAGAAUGCCCACUUGUGCUUUUUUUCUGAACAUCUGCUGGUUUAUUUGUCUAAUAAGGACAUUUUUUUCCAAUUAGAUACUCAAAUAGAAAGCCCUUCUCUUUGGCUUGAGAGUAUAUUAACAUCUUCACAUAGGCCAACAAAUAUAAGUACCUGCCCAGCGCUUAUGGUUUCGUGGUUAUGUACCAGUUUCAUGUCAAUUCAAGUGGACAUAGUAUUUACUUAAUCAGUGUUUUAUGAUGCACAUAAAAGUGUACAUUUGAUUUAGUUUUUCAUAAUGCCUGAUGAAUGUAGAGUUGUAAAAAAUACUGAAGUCAUUGAAAAGAAAAUCACAGAGGAUGUCAUGGUGCGUGGACUAGGCUUAUAGUAUCUCCCAGCCCUAAUGUUGCAAGUGUGAUGGCUUGAUAUCAUUGGGACCUAGAGUUAAAUUGAAUAUCCUUUGGCAUCGACUAGGUUUGCCUGUUUCUGUUGUGCAGGUUUUGUUGGGUACGGGUGGUAUGAUUUUUCUUGCUUGACUUUUAUUAUAUGGAGAAUUUGGAAAGACAUGUCUACAAAUACAGGCCCUUUUUUGAUUUAUCAGGUGAUUGGAGAAGCUACCUAAUUUGAUUGUGUGAUCCCAUCUUCUGGACUUUAUGGUGCCCUGCUUCCUUGGAGUGUUUUUCACUGGUCUGGUUCUUGGGAUAUCAAUUGAUCUUUAUUGUAGUAGGACUUUCCGAUUUCCUUUGAUCAAUAUAGAUCUCCACAACUCCACUUAACUUCUCCACAGGGUUCUAGUUGUACAUUACUACUGUCUGCUAUUCAAAGGAAAGCCUAUGACAAUGACAAUGAGGAUUUUGCUGACUAGCCCUGGUCCUUCAGAUCUGUGUGCACUCCUAUGGAAGUUCCACUUAUUGUGGCGACA